ACACACACACACACACACACACACACUAUGCUCUAAAUUCAGGUAAUGUCUCAUCACAUUUAACCCAAUUUCAGCUGUUCAUGUUGUCCCAUCUGUUCAGUGGCACACAAAGGGUUAUUGUAGGCCACUGCUCUCCUGUGCCAGGCUUUUGAUUUUAAUUGCGGUGGCACUCAUCUACUCCUCUUCACUCAAAGGCUCGAAUACGCCGUUUGAAAUCAGGUUGGGGUGAACAUCAGGGACUGCUGGAGGCCUCUGGGCUUUGAUGAGGAUUUGAAGGAGUGAAAGACUCUGGCUGUAGGCCAUAUUGUACAAUGGAGGCCUUUCCUCUGUCUGAAGGUUAUUUUCUUCAUAUAGACAAUAUCAGCUUUUUUUGCAGCAGGAGCGUUUCUGACUGAGCAGCUGUCCAGAUGUGGCUCUUACAUAUUCAUGGGAUCGGCUGUUGCUGUCAGGGUUGUCAUGGUGACGUUUCCAGUGCAGUUAGAUGCCAGUGAGAGUUUCUCUCUCAUCCAUCACCAGUGCCAAAGGAGCAGUGAGGAGAGGGAGGCUGGAGAGCAGGGCAAAAGAGCAGAGUUCUUAUCCUGAGGGAGGAUGGAUGGAGCCUGGUGAAGAGAAGAAAACGACAAAAAGGCUGGAGAAGGCUCUUUUCCCACAGCUCCCCAGGGGGUUUCAUGUAGAGUUUAAAGAGUGAAAGAGAUGCUGAUAGAGCUUUCAGGCUUCAACCUUUAAACUUACAAAUGGCUUCCAUUUCUACACAUUAAGAAAUGAAAUAACACCAGUGAUUGGGAGAUAUUUUCUUUGGGCCUCUGAUGAUGCAUACCGGAUGUUUAAGUUGGACAUUUUAUGGGAUGACAGGAACCGAAUGGCAGAAGAGGAACCCAAUUCUUCACACAGAUUUGGCGAAAAUUAUGUCUGGAUCAUGCUGUCCAUGCAGUGAAAACUUACAGACCAAGCAACAGAGAGUGGCUAUCUAGGAAAAGACAGAGGUGAAAAACGCUCUGGAGGUGACAGGAGAAGCAUCGUGGAGCAACAGAGCCACAGUUCAGCAAUGUGACACUGAUCCAUUACUCUCUUAUCUGUCAAAAUAGAACCCGCACAACUAACAUACUAUUUUACAUCACACAUGAAUGGUUCUUGUUCCACCAGCACAUGUACAAGUUUGUGAUAGGGACCGUGGAGGAAAAAAAAAAAACAGGUGCAUCACAUCGCACUUGCACAUAGACAUUAAAAAUGCUUUUAGUGGAUGAGGCACUUAGCUGACUCUUAAAGCAGAAUGACACUCUUUCUGUGCCCCUGUGAUGGGUCUACGCACUGCAAUUACACACACAAUUAAAGCCUCACACACCACCAAACUGCUGCUGCAUUUGGAUCUGUGUGAAAAUUGUGUACUUCUUUAUGUGUGUGUUUGUGUGCUUGUGGUGGAAAGGGGUGGGUUAUCGAACUACUGUGCAAUGUAUACCAGUAUGUGUGUAUUCCCUAUACCACAUACAAACUAUAAUAGAUUUCAAUUUUUAAUUCAUUUUAUCCAUCUCAAUAAAACUACAAAACGUCCAAAUGUUAACGUACACACUAGUAAAAGAAAAACACUAAAACUUACUUGCCACUUGUACAUUUACUCUAAAAUUAUAGUAAGGUUUGGAGAAGUAUGAAAUGAAUGAAGCAGGUCUCGCACUGCUUUUUGUAUAUAUGUAUGUAUGUAUGUAUGUAUGUAUGUAUGUAUGUAUGUAUGUAUGUAUGUAUGUAUGUAUGUAUGAUCCCAUCACCAAGUACUGUAAAUGUUCAGAAUGGUGUGUAUUUGGGAUGUAAUACAAUCCCAUUUUCUGUUUUUGUAUUCAAAUUUAAACCAGAGGUGGGUGGGGACUGUACCAAAAGGGAUUUCCAUGCUAACCCUAAGACUAGAACAAGAAACACUGGAAAAACAUUCAAAUAAACACUGUUGGAAAGAA